rnacentral:misc_RNA from 1 species
GAUGAAGAACGUAGCGAAAUGCGAUAAGUAAUGUGAAUUGCAGAAUUCAGUGAAUCAUCGAAUCUUUGAACGCACCUUGCGCUCUUUGGUAUUCCGAAGAGCAUGCCUGUUUGAGUGUCAUGAAAAUAUCAACCUUGACUUGGGUUUUGUGCUCUAGUCUCGGCUUGGAAUUGGGUGCUUGCCGCUUUUACGAGCGGCUCACCUUAAAUGUAUUAGCUGGAUCUGUCUUUGAGACUUGGUUUGACUUGGCGUAAUAAGUAUUUCGCUAAGGACAUUCUUCGGAGUGGCCUCGUUUCUAGGACGCUUGUCCGCUUUCCAAUACAAGUUCCACUUCGUGGACAUGACUUUUUAUUAUCUGGCCUCAAAUCAGGUAGGACUACCCGCUGAACUUAAGCAUAUCAAUAAGCGGAGGA